UGAUAGUGGUGAGGGCAAUUUCUAAGCAUGCCCUUAAAUCUUUCCCAAGCUUGGUAAGGAUUUUCUUCUUCUUUCUAUCUGAGACUUAGAAUCUCGCUUCUCAAGUA
rfam:Capsicum annuum cultivar Zunla-1 chromosome 3, whole genome shotgun sequence